AACGGAGCAGCCAUUGAAACUCCAUCAUGAUAGGUGAGCUGGUUAAAGUCCUGUAUUUAUCCGGCUUCCAGGGUUAAGUACAGAAAGGCCAGGAGAGGAGGGGGUGUCUUCUGACUGCAGCGAUGGAGAUGAAAAGGAGACUGUUUCCUCCCAUCCACAGGGAGCUGGUGGGGCGUGCGUUCCUCAUCACGAGACUGCACCUUGCCCAGCACAUCUGGAAAAGCUGCUCUGGGGUGUGUGUUACACCCCACACAAUCUCGCCCGGUCCUUCGGAAAGUCUUCUGGAAUUUGGGAGCCUGGGAGAUGUUGAAAGGUUCUGAUCAGUGGUAGAGGCCUCCAGAAUUAAGGAUGGCGUGUAUAAAACCACAGUUGCCUGGAGCAUCUCCACACUUGCUCGCAGUGGAAUCCUCCCUUAGCCACUCUUGGCUUUUCCUGGAAGAACGGCCUCUGCAGCUGUCGCUUGGCUGGAGGAAAGGCGGGGGACCCCACAGCCCCCCUGCCCAAGAACCAGGGACAUCGCCACAUUCUGCGCCCUUAGGACUAACGUCAGGAGGAGAGAAGGUGUAUCGGCAAAGGAUGGUGCUGAAGCAUGAAGCUGCUGCUGCAGCCUUGAAGCUGGAAGGCUCGCCCUGAAGUUAGACGGGUUGGGGUACCCAACCCCUGCCAAACCCACCUCUGUGUUCCUGUCUGCCUGGGAAAAAGAAAAGACACUCUCGAUCCGUCACCUGAAGUAGCCACAAUUAGGAAAGUGUCAGGACUGCAUUGUCUGAGUUCUUUGCCAGGAUCCCGGGAGUAGGGGUGGGGAGGGACAAAGGUGUGGGCUGAGCGGACCCUUCAGACAACCCCGUUGUCUCCAGGGCGGGGGGAUCUCUUUAAAAAAACACGUGAGGCUCCCCUGGAACUGUUCAUGUCCUUCUUCUCAAGGGCACACACGGCAGAAGCGACCCCGGCUCUCAGAUCACAGGCUCUGUG
ensembl:lncRNA